GGCUACUUCAGAGAGGCAUUGGCACAUCUCCAGAAUCAGAUCAAUUUUAUUUUAACAUGCUAGAGCAACAUACAGUCAUUAUAUGAUAGCUGCUGUGUGUAAUCUUUGAACAUUGCUGGAGAGCAGGUGUAGCGUCAGAAGACUGGAGGUGGGAAAUAACUAUAUUCAUCUGCAAGAAGGAGAAACGAUGAAUUCAGGUAUUUACAAACCAGUCAAUUUGGCAUCAAUAGCAGGAGUGACUUGGAAAACUGCAAGUCACUUCUGGUGUGAGAGAAUUGACCAUCUGCAAGGACAUUGCCCAGAGGAUGCCCAGAUGUUUUGAUGUGUUUACCAUCCUUGUGGGAGGCUUCUCUCAUGUCCCCACAUGGAGCUGAAGCUGAUAGAGGGAGCUCAUCCGCACUCUCCCCGGGUUGGAGUCAAACCGGCAACCUUCAAGUCAGCAACCCAACCUUCAAGUCAGCAGUCCUGCCGGCACAAGGGUUUAAUCAACUGUGCAUUUGUUUGUGACCCCCAAUUCAUGGAGUUCAGUGAUCCCUGAAAUAACUUUACUAAUAUGUAACAAGAUGUUUCAUACCAUAGAUUUUUAUAUUGGUUGCAUAGUGGUCAAUAGGUUACAGUGGGAUUAAUAAAAAAAGUAAUGUAAUGCC